rnacentral:tRNA from 2 species
AAAUUAGUUUAUUAAAACAUUAAAUUGCAAGUUUAAAUAUAAUUAUUGAAAUCAAUAAAUGAUG